UACGGAGGGUGCAAGCGUUGUCCGGAUUUAUUGGGUUUAAAGGGUGCGUAGGCGGCUUUUUAAGUCAGUGGUGAAAGACAACAGCUCAACUGUUGCAGUGCCAUUGAUACUGAAGAGCUUGAGUACAGACGAGGUAGGCGGAAUUUAUGGUGUAGCGGUGAAAUGCAUAGAUAUCGUCAAGAACACCGAUAGCGAAGGCAGCUUACUGGGCUGUAACUGACGCUGAGGCACGAAAGUGUGGGGAUCAAACAGG
rnacentral:rRNA from 1 species